rnacentral:rRNA from 1 species
AGAGUUUGAUCAUGGCUCAGGACGAACGCUGGCGGCACGCUUAACACAUGCAAGUCGAACGAGAGAAGAGGAGCUUGCUUUUCUGAUCUAGUGGCGGACGGGUGAGUAACACGUGAGCAAUCUGCCUUUCAGAGGGGGAUACCGAUUGGAAACGAUCGUUAAUACCGCAUAACAUAAUUGAACCGCAUGAUUUGAUUAUCAAAGACUUAUCGCUGAAAGAUGAGCUCGCGUCUGAUUAGCUAGUUGGUAAGGUAACGGCUUACCAAGGCGACGAUCAGUAGCCGGACUGAGAGGUUGAUCGGCCACAUUGGGACUGAGACACGGCCCAGGCUCCUACGGGAGGCAGCAGUGGGGAAUAUUGCACAAUGGAGGAAACUCUGAUGCAGCGAUGCCGCGUGAGGGAAGAAGGUUUUAGGAUUGUAAACCUCUGUCUUCAGGGACGAAAAAAGACGGUACCUGAGGAGGAAGCUCCGGCUAACUACGUGCCAGCAGCCGCGGUAAUACGUAGGGAGCGAGCGUUGUCCGGAAUUACUGGGUGUAAAGGGAGCGUAGGCGGGAUCGCAAGUCAGAUGUGAAAACUAUGGGCUUAACCCAUAAACUGCAUUUGAAACUGUGGUUCUUGAGUGAAGUAGAGGUAAGCGGAAUUCCUAGUGUAGCGGUGAAAUGCGUAGAUAUUAGGAGGAACAUCAGUGGCGAAGGCGGCUUACUGGGCUUUAACUGACGCUGUGGCUCGAAAGCGUGGGGAGCAAACAGGAUUAGAUACCCUGGUAGUCCACGCCGUAAACGAUGAUUACUAGGUGUGGGGGGACUGACCCCUUCCGUGCCGCAGCAAACGCAAUAAGUAAUCCACCUGGGGAGUACGACCGCAAGGUUGAAACUCAAAGGAAUUGACGGGGGCCCGCACAAGCAGUGGAGUAUGUGGAUUAAUUCGAAGCAACGCGAAGAACCUUACCAGGUCUUGACAUCGUAUGCAUAGCUCAGAGAUGAGUGAAAUCUCUUCGGAGACAUAUAGACAGGUGGUGCAUGGUUGUCGUCAGCUCGUGUCGUGAGAUGUUGGGUUAAGUCCCGCAACGAGCGCAACCCUUACUGUUAGUUGCUACGCAAGAGCACUCUAGCAGGACUGCCGUUGACAAAACGGAGGAAGGUGGGGAUGACGUCAAAUCAUCAUGCCCCUUAUGACCUGGGCCUCACACGUACUACAAUGGCUGUCAACAGAGGGAAGCAAAGCCGCGAGGUGGAGCGAACCCCUAAAAGCAGUCUUAGUUCGGAUUGUAGGCUGCAACCCGCCUACAUGAAGUCGGAAUUGCUAGUAAUCGCAGAUCAGCAUGCUGCGGUGAAUACGUUCCCGGGCCUUGUACACACCGCCCGUCACGCCAUGGGAGUCGGUAACACCCGAAGCCUGUAGUCUAACCGCAAGGAGGACGCAGUCGAAGGUGGGAUUGAUGACUGGGGUGAAGUCGUAACAAGGUA